GCAAAUGCCAUUUUGUAAACAUUGCUAUUACACCUCUACUACCUUAAUAUGAAAACUACUCCACACAUGAUGGUACAAAAGAUGGUGGGGAAUUGGCUCAGUUUGUAAUCAAAAAUAGAUAUUGGAAAAUAAACUCUGAUUAAGGGUAUUUGUCCACUGUCAGGCAGCUUGAAAUACAAAAUAUCACAUCAUGCAUGUUUAAGGGACCGGUGGUUAAUGUACACUGUAAUACACUAUUCUUUCUUGGAAAUCUUUUGUUUGUAAAUUACUUCAGUCUGCAAGGAAUAUUGUCUGCUUAAUGACUCUUGUUACUCUAAAUUCCUGUGUGAAAAAAAGAUAAUUGAAUUAAGAUAUGCAUUUAUUUGAAAACAUAACUAGAUAUGAAAUUGUUCUGUGAUAAAAUGAGUUAUUUUUAAAAAAAGUCACCUGGAACAAACUUGCAUGUACAUAUAUAUAUGAAUAUUUUGUAUGAUUAAAUUCAAUGUUAGAUGGGUGUUGAAUGCCAGAAUUGCUUGAAAGAUGUCCGAUUGAGAAUAUAAGUUAAAGAUAUUAUUAUAAUUUGUGCCAUUUUGAUACAAACAGUUAUCUGGUUAGAAAAAUUUUGACUCCGAGUGUUUAUUGUAUAAUACAAACACUCGAUGUACCUCGUAUAUAUUAACAAGUAAAUCAGAAUUAUUAAAACAGUUUGUCAAAUGCGAGGUUUUGCUUUUAAAAAAAUUGACAUUAUGGCAACAUUGAAUAAAAUUACACAAACAAAACAUUGAAUUCAUCUAUUUAUCACGCAAGUGUUUUUGUGUUUUCACUGAAUUCUAGAUGAAAGUUAUGGUCUUUGGUAAUAUCCUGCAUGGUAAAACAUUUUAACUCUAGUCUUGCAGGUAGAAAAUGUGUUAACUUGAGUUACAUGUAACGUUUAACCUUAGUGUUGCAGGUAGAAAAUGUGUUAACUUGAGUUAUAUGUAAUGUGUAACUCUAGUGUUGCAGGUAGAAAAUAUGUUAACCUGAGUUACAUGUCAAAUUGUUGAUAAAAUCUAACUUAAUAUUGGUAAAAAAAACUAUUACAUUUGUAUUGAAACAGUGAGAUGUAUGUUGAUACAAACUCUGAUAGUAAAUUUAUUAAUUCAAAUUGUUUUACUAAAUUAUUUAUAGUUACUUUGUUGUUGAUUGAAGUAAUGUUGAUUUGUCUGUGAUUUGAAUGUUAGUGAAAAUAUCUUCAUAUGUGUGAGUGUGCAAUUGUUUAUGAGCCAAAUUUAUAAAUUAAAAAGUAAUGUGUACUUAUAGUGAACUUUGUUUUACUCCUCUUUAUAUAGGCUUUUGAUGUUGAUAAGUUUUCGUGUUUUCAGUGAUGCAAUACUCAGUUUAAAUGUGUAUAUUUUGUAGCGUAUUUGUUGCAUAACACUCAAGCAGAACGUUGUUAUUCAGAAAACUCUUGUCAUCAAAGGGUUUGGUUCUGGGACAAGGUGUGUAUAAAAAGAAUUUGAACCACGGUUGAACCAUUGCAUGCGGUAACUGGUAGCGUCUGAACACUUGGUCAGGCUUUAUGUCUGUGAUUCCAGCAGGCAUACAAAUUUUAGUUCCAUAACUUAAUAUUCUGAUGUAAAUGAGAUGUGGAACCAAAAUAUUUAAUCCUGUUGGGCACCAUAUAACCUGCACUGUGUUGGUUAGACACAAAACACUAACAGAAAAAGAGGAACAUGUCAACUUCAGUUGUUAUUUCUGCUGUGUGUAGACAAGAGUUUUUGAUUGAAUCAUUAGUUGGGGAUCAGUAAAAUGCAUAUAGAAAUGAUGAAAUAAAGGUAAAAAUAAAUUACCAAAAAUGAAAGAUUUUGAACAGCUGUCCGCAUGUUCCUAAGACAGCAUUAUGUUUGGUGUUUGUGUAUUCAAGUAUAGCAGGUUAAGUCGAUACAGUCAUAUUGGGCUCAAAAAUGAAUAUCACUCACUAUAUCUGGGUAAGUCCAAAAUAUAGUUGUAUUUGGAAAACAAGUUACAAAAAACAUUCAAGACAAUGAUUGGCAAAAUUUUAUGAUAAUGAUUGCAGAGGGUUUUAUUAAGCCUUUUUUUAUUGACAGAGUAUUUAUGUCACUGUUGCUUGUAUGAUGCAGACAGAUCUCUUGUUAUGGAAUUUAGACUAUUAUUGAUACUGACUGUAUCUGGGGGGUAGGGGGAGUGUUUGAGUAGUGUUGGGAGACCACUUUUGUAUAUAGUCAUCUUACUGUUGGUGCAUACAAAAUGUUCAUUUGGUGUCCUUACCAUAAUCAAAAGCAGAAGGAAAAAAAUGAAGAUAAAGAAACUUACAUUAGUUAAAUUGAUAAAUUGUGAAAAAAUUUUUUUUAAAAACCACUUUUUGUGCAGGUUCAUAUGAAAAUUUAAUAUGCAAAGCCACAAAUAAUCUGCCUAUUAUGGAAUGCAUUACUAAAUGUAAAAAAUAUUCUUGUGUCCUAUACAGGUAUGAAAUAGUGUAAUGUUUCUGAAGUUAGCAGUAAGUAAACUAGGGACCAUGUUUUGUGAGUAAAUUAUAAUGUUUAUCUGAAAAUUAUUGUAAAAUUUAAGACUGACAUGUUACCUAAGAUCAAAAUGGUAUAUGGUCAAUAUGUCUUGCUCGUCUUGUUAAAUACAAGAACUCGACUUCAGCAAAAUAAAACGCGAACAAAAGCUUUAAAGUGAUAGUAACAAAUUUUACCAUGUAUGUUGUAAAUAAACAUAUUCUUAAAUUC